GUUCAUACCUUACAGGGAAAACACCAUGUCAUAAAAAUGGUUUUCUCAGGGGGAGGCUCAUCUAUUGUACUUGGGGUGUGUUGCUAAUCCCUGUGAUUUCCUCAAAUGUGGGGAGCUCAACUGCAUAGUUUAUGUCACUGUUUCUUAACC
rnacentral:snRNA from 1 species